rnacentral:rRNA from 1 species
UGGUGGGUAGUUUGACUGGGGCGGUCUCCUCCUAAAGAGUAACGGAGGAGCACGAAGGUUGGCUAAUCCUGGUCGGACAUCAGGAGGUUAGUGCAAUGGCAUAAGCCAGCUUGACUGCGAGCGUGACGGCGCGAGCAGGUGCGAAAGCAGGUCAUAGUGAUCCGGUGGUUCUGAAUGGAAGGGCCAUCGCUCAACGGAUAAAAGGUACUCCGGGGAUAACAGGCUGAUACCGCCCAAGAGUUCAUAUCGACGGCGGUGUUUGGCACCUCGAUGUCGGCUCAUCACAUCCUGGGGCUGAAGUAGGUCCCAAGGGUAUGGCUGUUCGCCAUUUAAAGUGGUACGCGAGCUGGGUUUAGAACGUCGUGAGACAGUUCGGUCCCUAUCUGCCGUGGGCGCUGGAGAACUGAGGGGGGCUGCUCCUAGUACGAGAGGACCGGAGUGGACGCAUCACUGGUGUUCGGGUUGUCAUGCCAAUGGCACUGCCCGGUAGCUAAAUGCGGAAGAGAUAAGUGCUGAAAGCAUCUAAGCACGAAACUUGCCCCGAGAUGAGUUCUCCCUGAGACUAU